AUUGAACGCUGGCGGCAGGCCUAACACAUGCAAGUCGAACGAGUGGCGGACGGGUGAGUAAUGUCUGGGAAACUGCCUGAUGGAGGGGGAUAACUACUGGAAACGGUAGCUAAUACCGCAUACCAUCAGAUGUGCCCAGAUGGGAUUAGCUAGUGGGUGGGGUAACGGGUCACCAAGGCGACGAUCCCUAGCGGGUCUGAGAGGAUGACCAGCAACACGGGAACUGAGACACGGUCCAGACUCCUACGGGAGGCAGCAGUGGGGAAUAUUGCACAAUGGGCGCAAGCCUGAUGCAGCCAUGCCGCGUGUAUGAAGAAGGCCUUAGGGUUGUAAAGUACUUUCAGCUGGGAGGCGUUACCCACAGAAGAAGCACCGGCUAACUCCGUGCCAGCAGCCGCGGUAAUUC
rnacentral:rRNA from 1 species